UAGGUUUUUGUGUAGUUUUGAUAGAUUUUUGUUAGGGUGAUUGGUUAGGAUUGUGAUUUAGUUGUAUAAUAGGUUUAGAAUUGUGAUUUGGUUGAAUAAUUUGUUUUGUUGAAUUGAUUUAGAAUUUUUUUAUAAUUUUUUUUAUUUUUUUUGUAUUUAUAAAAUCGAUUUUUGUAUAUAAAAUCGAUUUUUGUAUUUUACAAAACGAUUUUUCUAUAUAAAUUCGAUUUUUUGGAUUUUACAAAAUCUUUUUUGUAUAUAAAUUCGAUUUUUUGGAUUUUACAAAACAUUUUA
rnacentral:lncRNA from 1 species